GCGAUUCUCGUGCCCCACCCUCCCGAGUAGCUGGGCUUAUAGGCACCUGCCACCAUGCCUGACUAAUUAUUUGUAUUUUCAGCAGAGACAGGGUUUCACCACGUUGGCCAGGCUGGUCUUGAACUCCUGACCUCGUGAUCCACCGGCCUUGGCCUCCCACAUUGCUGGGAUGACAGGUGUGAGCCACCACGCCCAGCCAACAUCAGGUGAACCCUUUCCUGAAGGAAGAAAUGGAGAAUGGCCCAGAUGACUAAAUGACGGAAGGAUCACGUAAUCCAAGGAUAGGACCCUGAACAAUAUGCCCAGUUAUAACCAGCAUGAACAGAGCUCUCCUCCUCAUCCUACAACUCAGGAAGUCCAUGGUGAGUCAGUCUGACCUGAAGUAAAAAGAGACAACUGAAC
rnacentral:lncRNA from 10 species